rnacentral:rRNA from 1 species
GUGCCAGCCGCCGCGGUAAUACGUAGGUGGCGAGCGUUGUCCGGAUUUACUGGGCGUAAAGCGCGCGCAGGCGGACUGAUCAGUCUGGGGUGAAAUCUCACGGCUCAACUGUGAGCGGUCCCUGGAUACUGUCAGUCUUGAGAUGUCUAGAGGAGAGCGGAAUUCCCGGUGUAGUGGUGGAAUGCGUAGAUAUCGGGAAGAACACCAGUGGCGAAAGCGGCUCUCUGGGGACCAUCUGACGCUGAGGCGCGAAAGCGUGGGGAGCGAACCGGAUUAGAUACCCGGGUAGUCCACGCCGUAAACGAUGAGCACUAGCUGUCGGGGGUAUCGACCCCUCCGGUAGCGCAGCUAACGCGAUAAGUGCUCCGCCUGGGGACUACGGCCGCAAGGCUAAA